AGCGAACGCUGGCGGCAGGCUUAACACAUGCAAGUCGAGCGGGCACUUUCGGGUGUCAGCGGCGGACGGGUGAGUAACGCGUGGGAACGUGCCCUCUGGUUCGGAAUAACUCAGGGAAACUUGAGCUAAUACCGGAUACGCCCUUUUGGGGAAAGGCUUGCUGCCGGAGGAUCGGCCCGCGUCUGAUUAGCUAGUUGGUGAGGUAACGGCUCACCAAGGCGACGAUCAGUAGCUGGUCUGAGAGGAUGAUCAGCCACACUGGGACUGAGACACGGCCCAGACUCCUACGGGAGGCAGCAGUGGGGAAAAUUGGACAAUGGGCGCAAGCCUGAUCCAGCCAUGCCGCGUGAGUGAUGAAGGCCUUAGGGUUGUAAAGCUCUUUUAUCCGGGACGAUAAUGACGGUACCGGAGGAAUAAGCCCCGGCUAACUUCGUG
rnacentral:rRNA from 1 species